GUAGCUUCUAGCCUUCCACCAGAUUCCCGCCAAACUAACAUUACGGAAACUCUAAAAUGUUUUAUGGUCUUAGCAUGCAUGUAAGACUGAAUGUUGUCCUGAUUAUACUGAUGUUUAGUUAUAAUAAUUAUGAUUAUUAUUGGUAUUGUUGGUGUUGUUGCUAGUGCGCGUGCUGAUGCUUGUAUAGUUGCCUUGUUCAACUUUUGUACUUAUUUAAUUAGAUGAUCUGGAAAAUACUACAGACUUAGAGGAAAUUAGCCUCGCUGAAAUAAGCAUUCUAUUUGUUCUGUUUCACUUAAAAGCAGUUGCUUCAUGCUUAGUUACAUCUCUGUGUGAGAUAUUUUAUGUGGUCAUUAGUGACAUUCAAUUCCUAGUCCUAAUAAGGGACUGUUUCUUACUUCUUUCUCAACUCGUUCAUGCAACAAAUCUUGAUCAGCUCUUUACUUAGUUGAAAAAUGAUAAUGUUUGUCAGUUUAAUUCAUGAGUUGUUGAUCUUUUGUCUCAACCAGGGAAGGAUUCAGCUCCAUAUUUGAAAACAUUGUACGUCAAGUAAGCUGUAAUUUUGAAAAUAGUAGGAACAGUGAUUCCAGAAAUAAUCAGACUCAUGCAAAUCCUUCAAAGGAAGUCCAGAAUGAAAAUGGUGAACAAAUGCAGUCUAGGGAGCUGGAGAGCAAUGUUCAUCAGUUGACUAAUUGCUGUAAGAAUUCUGGCCAGAGUACGAAUAAACAAGCGUCUCUAACCAAGGAAGGGAUCGAGUGGAAGCUGAGGGUUAGUUCUAAUAAAAAGCAGUUUUGAAGAUGCAGAAAAAAAAAGUUUUGACGUCGCUUAUGUGAGUUACUUCUUCGUAAAGUCCUAUUUAUGCUCUUGGAUAUGUACGUUUUAAUCGAUUGUCUGUCAUGUGGAAGUGAUGCUUUUCCACUGACAUUUAAUUGCAAUUGAAAGCUGACAAAAUCAUAGAGAAGUCACAAUUUAUUUUGUUUUCACCUGUGUGUUUGUUAUUUCUGGAUUCUAUCUUUGUGAUCUCCAAAACAUUUUAUUAAUUGGCUUAGCUUUGGGUUUAGAGUGAAGGUUAUUUAUGAUUAUAGAUAGCUUCUAUGUCAUAAUCUUCAUUGGACAUAGAUGGCUUACCAGAUGAUCUGUCGUAUCCUAAAUAAUCAUAUCACGUGAUAUUGACAUGAAGGCAAAUUCUGAGCUGAAUAAAGAGGUAUAUAAGCUGACCCAAAUCCGUAGCACUAUAUGAGAGUAGACAAGCGUGAAUAUCCCUAAUAGGGGCCUCCAACAGGUGCCCAGUGAAAGUCAUAGACUUCCCCAACGACAUCCUUUUUAAAAGAAGAAGGGCAAAGCAUGGAAGAUGAAGUGACUAGAUGUAGCUUGUUGGUCACUUGUUGCUAAAACGGAAACGAUCAUGUCCAGUAUGCUUGUUCUUGUUAGGGAUUGUUUGAAGUUUACAUUUGUACAUGCUACAAUAGAGUUAGG